rnacentral:rRNA from 1 species
CAUAUCAAUAAGCGGAGGAAAAGAAACUAACAAGGAUUCCCCUAGUAACUGCGAGUGAAGCGGGAAAAGCUCAAAUUUAAAAUCUGGCGGUCUUUGGCCGUCCGAGUUGUAAUCUAGAGAAGUGCUAUCCGCGCUGGACCGUGUACAAGUCUCCUGGAAUGGAGCGUCAUAGAGGGUGAGAAUCCCGUCUUUGACACGGACUGCCAGUGCUUUGUGAUGUGCUCUCAAAGAGUCGAGUUGUUUGGGAAUGCAGCUCAAAAUGGGUGGUAAAUUCCAUCUAAAGCUAAAUAUUGGCGAGAGACCGAUAGCGAACAAGUACCGUGAGGGAAAGAUGAAAAGAACUUUGGAAAGAGAGUUAAACAGUACGUGAAAUUGCUGAAAGGGAAACGCUUGAAGUCAGUCGCGUUGUCCAGGGAUCAACCUUGCUUUUGCUUGGUGCACUUUCUGGUUGACGGGUCAGCAUCAAUUUUGACUAUUGGAAAAAGAUUAGGGGAAUGUGACAUCUUCGGAUGUGUUAUAGCCCUUGGUUGCAUACAAUGGUUGGGAUUGAGGAACUCAGCACGCCGCAAGGCCGGGUUUUUAACCACGUACGUGCUUAGGAUGCUGGCAUAAUGGCUUUAAUCGACCCGUCUUGAAACACGGACCAAGGAGUCUAACAUGCCUGCGAGUGUUUGGGUGGAAAACCCGAGCGCGUAAUGAAAGUGAAAGUUGAGAUCCCUGUCGUGGGGAGCAUCGACGCCCGGACCAGACCUUUUGUGACGGCUCCGCGGUAGAGCAUGUAUGUUGGGACCCGAAAGAUGGUGAACUAUGCCUGAAUAGGGUGAAGCCAGGGGAAACCCUGGUGGAGGCUCGUAGCGAUUCUGACGUGCAAAUCGAUCGUCAAAUUUGGGUAUAGGGGCGAAAGACUAAUCGAACCAUCUAGUAGCUGG